CAAAGAUGAGAUUUAGGGUUGACAGUGUCUAUUGAAUGUUUGAAAAGCAGGCACUUUAAUGAUAAAAAAUGAGCAAGCUACUACAGUCCAAAAAUUACUUUGAAUGAGCUUUUUAGCAGGUCUAGACAGCCACAAUAUAUAUUGGAAAGAUAAUUUAAUAUAUAGCUCUAUGUAAAAAAAUGGAGUACAAUCUGAAAUUGUAGAUAAAACAUUGGCACAUUUGAAGUUAG
rnacentral:lncRNA from 1 species